AGAAGGGGGAAGCCUCCAACAGACAGACAGGCUGGGUGUCUCGUUCAGAUCAGCCGACAGGGAGAUAGAGGGGGGUGAUGGACAGAGAAGGGGAAGCCCCUAACAGACAGACAGGCUGGGGGUCUCCGUCAGAUCAGCAGACAGGAGCAGAGGGGGGUGAGGUGAUGACGAGAAGGGCGAGCCCCUAACAGACAGACAGGCUGUUGGUCUCCGUC
rnacentral:lncRNA from 1 species